rnacentral:rRNA from 1 species
GACGAACGCUGGCGGCGUGCCUAAUACUUGCAAGUAGAACGCUGAGAACUGGUGCUUGCACCGGUUCAAGGAGUUGCGAACGGGUGAGUAACGCGUAGGUAACCUACCUCAUAGCGGGGGAUAACUAUUGGAAACGAUAGCUAAUACCGCAUAAGAGAGACUAACGCAUGUUAGUAAUUUAAAAGGGGCAAUUGCUCCACUAUGAGAUGGACCUGCGUUGUAUUAGCUAGUUGGUGAGGUAAAGGCUCACCAAGGCGACGAUACAUAGCCGACCUGAGAGGGUGAUCGGCCACACUGGGACUGAGACACGGCCCAGACUCCUACGGGAGGCAGCAGUAGGGAAUCUUCGGCAAUGGGGGCAACCCUGACCGAGCAACGCCGCGUGAGUGAAGAAGGUUUUCGGAUCGUAAAGCUCUGUUGUUAGAGAAGAAUGAUGGUGGGAGUGGAAAAUCCACCAAGUGACGGUAACUAACCAGAAAGGGACGGCUAACUACGUGCCAGCAGCCGCGGUAAUACGUAGGUCCCGAGCGUUGUCCGGAUUUAUUGGGCGUAAAGCGAGCGCAGGCGGUUUUUUAAGUCUGAAGUUAAAGGCAUUGGCUCAACCAAUGUACGCUUUGGAAACUGGAGAACUUGAGUGCAGAAGGGGAGAGUGGAAUUCCAUGUGUAGCGGUGAAAUGCGUAGAUAUAUGGAGGAACACCGGUGGCGAAAGCGGCUCUCUGGUCUGUAACUGACGCUGAGGCUCGAAAGCGUGGGGAGCAAACAGGAUUAGAUACCCCUGGUAGUCCACGCCGUAAACGAUGAGUGCUAGGUGUUAGGCCCUUUCCGGGGCUUAGUGCCGGAGCUAACGCAUUAAGCACUCCGCCUGGGGAGUACGACCGC